rnacentral:tRNA from 1 species
GCCAGUGUCGCUCAGUGGUUAGAGUGCUGGCCCUCGCACCGAAGGUCGUGGGUUCAAAUCUCAUUACGGGCA